GUGCCUCUGGCCACUGCAGCUUUGUCAGGGCCAGCUGGUGAGACCCCAACAGUGUGAGAGUCCCUGUUCCCCCAGCCCGGCAGCCGAAGAAGAGGGUUGGAAUGCACAAAGUUGAGUUUUCAAGCCAAUCCUGACACCUUUGCACCAGGAUGGAGAAGUCAGAGCCUGCAAGCACAGGAAAUCUUGGGUUUAAGCACUGAAACCCCAGCAGUGCCUCAUGUUUGAAAAGCAACAUUGUCACUGAGCGCAGGACUGGGCAGGACUUUCCAUCCAGUUUCUCCUCCACACAAAGACAAAUCCCAGUAGAAAUUCUUGAGUAAUUUUUGGAUGUCCAGGAGUACCUGCAUGAAGUGCUGGGAAUCCUCAGUUCUCCGUGUGAUAACUGGGAGAGCCCUUGACUGAUUUUAACCUUUCUUCGGGUCAGUCUUCUUAAUUAAAUCAUUAAGGAUAUUAAUAUUUCAGCUGAGGCUUCUGUGAAACUCUGUCCCAUUCCUGUGGGAAGGGAUGAGGUCUCAGGACUGGCACAUUCCUCCUGCUGGGUACAGAAUAAUUCCUUUUCACUCUCUUUUUGUGGCUUGGU